UCCGAAGACGGUCCUCAGACACUUAACUCACUCAUCAUGAAGGUUACUAUGUUCCUGUGCCUUUUGGCCGUUGCCUUGGCAGAACCUGAGCCCUACUACAACCCACAGGUGCUGGCCGGUCACCCUCUACACUACAGCCAUCCCUACGGAUUCCCACUCAUCCACAACCAGGGCCUACCCCUGACCUACAGCAAUCGAUUCCCACUCACCUACGGCCACGACCUCCCUCUCACCUACAGCAAUAGAUUCCCACUCCC